rnacentral:lncRNA from 1 species
GUGCGGGGCGGGGGGGGGGGCCGCCACGGCGGGGCGGGGCACGUCACCUUUUUAUUUUUUCAAUAAAGAGUUUCAGAGUUGGUUUUUUGUUUUUUUAAUUAACAGACUAUGGUGGUGCUCCUCUAUGGUUUCAGCACUUGGGAAACGGAGGCAGAGGGAUCGCAAAUUUGAUGUCAACCUGGGCUACGUAGUGAGACCUUGUUUUUAAAAAGAAUUCUUUUUAAAGGUAAAGGACUUUAAAAGGACUUUCUCGCCGGGCAUGGUGGCUCAGAGGCAGGCGGGUCUACAAAAUGAGUCCAGCCAGCCAACGAACGCUACACAAGAAGGAGAUAAGAAAAUUUCCGAUUGAGAAGUGCAAUUGUUUUUCGGAGCCUGGUAUUAGAGCUGAAAGGCAGCUAUGGCGAAAGAGAAGACAUGCUGAUCAGAGAAAGCUGCAGAAGAGAGCAAGACCAAAAGAAGCCAGGUGGCCGAGCCUGUCAUCCCAGCACUCGGGAAGGACAGGCAGGAGGAGCAGGAGUGGAAGGCUGGAUGAGACCUCACCUUGGGAGAACAGUAGGGGCUGUUUGAGGAAGACAGCAGAAGAAGAAAGGGUGGACUGCCAAGUGCGGGCUCUCGGGGAGGGAGCAGUGCGGCGGAGACAUAUGGAGCGUGUUUGAAACAAACGCCGGCGGAGAAUGCAAGUGUGAUAAACAUGGUGGUCAGAGGAGGAAUCGCUGGAAUGGGGCUGCAGAGUCGGCUGUCUGAGGCCGGAGGAGCGGUUGCCACACUCAGAGCCCCGGCCAGCACCCCCUCCUGUUGUUCUUUCUGGAGCCACAUUCUUUUCCAUUAAAAGAAGAAGAAGAAAGUUGGCUACAGACAAGGUCAAAGGCAGUGAUUAGUCCGCCGGAAGCGGAGCUUCGUGCAACCGAGCAAAGCCUGCAUCGUAAGUCUCAUCCCCUGCAGUACCGACCCGGAACCUCGCCGUGUGCCUCCCGAGCACGGAAUCCAUCGCUGAAUGAAUGAACCGGCCGAGGACGGGGAGUGCUAAGCGAUGGGGAAGUGAAAGACCAGGACUUUAUAGACGGAACUGCCGCUGCGGGGGGCAUGGAGGGCCCAGAGCCCGGAGGGAGGCCAGCGCGCAGGGUGGGAAGGGAUGGGCUCCGUUUAAAAGGAAAAGGCCCUGGAGGCCUGCGCCGGCUCAAGGCUUGGGAUUACAGGUGUGUGCACCCUGCUUGGCUUAAAAAUCACAUUUCAAACGUUUUUUUGAGUCUACCCAGGAGUUUAGGCCUCAGUUUUCUGCCUGGCUGGCGCAUUUCUGGUCCGAAUUCCUGACGCUUUGGCCUGGGCUUCCUGCUGAUGUCUGUUUGGUCUGGUUUGGUUGAGGGCAGUCUGGCCUUAGCUAUAAGCUCAGAGCGCCGCAUUUGGCCUCUGGUGUUAAUUUUUGUUAAAAACUACAACUCUAACUUUAAAAAAAAAAAGUCAUUAGAAAAACAUUUUAAGACACUAUUUUUCACAUAAACGUUUAAAACAAGCUUCAAACAUUCUGGUAACCACGUAUGUGGAAUAAACAGUCCUCAGGGAGAAAAAAGUUCA